UACGUAGGUGGCGAGCGUUGUCCGGAAUUAUUGGGCGUAAAGGGCGUGUAGGCGGUAAGAUAAGUCUGAUGUGAAAUCUCAUAGCUCAACUAUGAACGUGCAUUGGAAACUGUCAAACUAGAGUGUCGGAGAGGAAAGCGGAAUUCCAUGUGUAGCGGUGGAAUGCGUAGAUAUAUGGAGGAACACCAGUGGCGAAGGCGGCUUUCUGGACGACUACUGACGCUGAGGCGCGAAAGCGUGGGGAGCAAACAGG
rnacentral:rRNA from 1 species